UAGCGUAGGGUGCAAGCGUUAAUCGGAAUUACUGGGCGUAAAGCGUGCGCAGGCGGUGAUGUAAGACAGAUGUGAAAUCCCCGGGCUCAACUUGGGAACUGCAUUUGUGACUGCAUCGCUGGAGUGCGGCAGAGGGGGAUGGAAUUCCGCGUGUAGCAGUGAAAUGCGUAGAUAUGCGGAGGAACACCGAUGGCGAAGGCAAUCCCCUGGGCCUGCACUGACGCUCAUGCAC
rnacentral:rRNA from 1 species